rnacentral:rRNA from 1 species
AGCGUACACGGUGGAUGCCCUGGCAGUCAGAGGCGAUGAAGGACGUGCUAAUCUGCGAUAAGCGUCGGUAAGGUGAUAUGAACCGUUAUAACCGGCGAUUUCCGAAUGGGGAAACCCAGUGUGUUUCGACACACUAUCAUUAACUGAAUCCAUAGGUUAAUGAGGCGAACCGGGGGAACUGAAACAUCUAAGUACCCCGAGGAAAAGAAAUCAACCGAGAUUCCCCCAGUAGCGGCGAGCGAACGGGGAGCAGCCCAGAGCCUGAAUCAGUGUGUGUGUUAGUGGAAGCGUCUGGAAAGGCGCGCGAUACAGGGUGACAGCCCCGUACACAAAAAUGCACAUGCUGUGAGCUCGAUGAGUAGGGCGGGACACGUGGUAUCCUGUCUGAAUAUGGGGGGACCAUCCUCCAAGGCUAAAUACUCCUGACUGACCGAUAGUGAACCAGUACCGUGAGGGAAAGGCGAAAAGAACCCCGGCGAGGGGAGUGAAAAAGAACCUGAAACCGUGUACGUACAAGCAGUGGGAGCACGCUUAGGCGUGUGACUGCGUACCUUUUGUAUAAUGGGUCAGCGACUUAUAUUCUGUAGCAAGGUUAACCGAAUAGGGGAGCCGAAGGGAAACCGAGUCUUAACUGGGCGUUAAGUUGCAGGGUAUAGACCCGAAACCCGGUGAUCUAGCCAUGGGCAGGUUGAAGGUUGGGUAACACUAACUGGAGGACCGAACCGACUAAUGUUGAAAAAUUAGCGGAUGACUUGUGGCUGGGGGUGAAAGGCCAAUCAAACCGGGAGAUAGCUGGUUCUCCCCGAAAGCUAUUUAGGUAGCGCCUCGUGAAUUCAUCUCCGGGGGUAGAGCACUGUUUCGGCAAGGGGGUCAUCCCGACUUACCAACCCGAUGCAAACUGCGAAUACCGGAGAAUGUUAUCACGGGAGACACACGGCGGGUGCUAACGUCCGUCGUGAAGAGGGAAACAACCCAGACCGCCAGCUAAGGUCCCAAAGUCAUGGUUAAGUGGGAAACGAUGUGGGAAGGCCCAGACAGCCAGGAUGUUGGCUUAGAAGCAGCCAUCAUUUAAAGAAAGCGUAAUAGCUCACUGGUCGAGUCGGCCUGCGCGGAAGAUGUAACGGGGCUAAACCAUGCACCGAAGCUGCGGCAGCGACGCUUAUGCGUUGUUGGGUAGGGGAGCGUUCUGUAAGCCUGUGAAGGUGUGCUGUGAGGCAUGCUGGAGGUAUCAGAAGUGCGAAUGCUGACAUAAGUAACGAUAAAGCGGGUGAAAAGCCCGCUCGCCGGAAGACCAAGGGUUCCUGUCCAACGUUAAUCGGGGCAGGGUGAGUCGACCCCUAAGGCGAGGCCGAAAGGCGUAGUCGAUGGGAAACAGGUUAAUAUUCCUGUACUUGGUGUUACUGCGAAGGGGGGACGGAGAAGGCUAUGUUGGCCGGGCGACGGUUGUCCCGGUUUAAGCGUGUAGGCUGGUUUUCCAGGCAAAUCCGGAAAAUCAAGGCUGAGGCGUGAUGACGAGGCACUACGGUGCUGAAGCAACAAAUGCCCUGCUUCCAGGAAAAGCCUCUAAGCAUCAGGUAACAUCAAAUCGUACCCCAAACCGACACAGGUGGUCAGGUAGAGAAUACCAAGGCGCUUGAGAGAACUCGGGUGAAGGAACUAGGCAAAAUGGUGCCGUAACUUCGGGAGAAGGCACGCUGAUACGUAGGUGAAGUCCCUCGCGGAUGGAGCUGAAAUCAGUCGAAGAUACCAGCUGGCUGCAACUGUUUAUUAAAAACACAGCACUGUGCAAACACGAAAGUGGACGUAUACGGUGUGACGCCUGCCCGGUGCCGGAAGGUUAAUUGAUGGGGUCAGCGCAAGCGAAGCUCUUGAUCGAAGCCCCGGUAAACGGCGGCCGUAACUAUAACGGUCCUAAGGUAGCGAAAUUCCUUGUCGGGUAAGUUCCGACCUGCACGAAUGGCGUAAUGAUGGCCAGGCUGUCUCCACCCGAGACUCAGUGAAAUUGAACUCGCUGUGAAGAUGCAGUGUACCCGCGGCAAGACGGAAAGACCCCGUGAACCUUUACUAUAGCUUGACACUGAACAUUGAGCCUUGAUGUGUAGGAUAGGUGGGAGGCUUUGAAGUGUGGACGCCAGUCUGCAUGGAGCCGACCUUGAAAUACCACCCUUUAAUGUUUGAUGUUCUAACGUUGACCCGUGAUCCGGGUUGCGGACAGUGUCUGGUGGGUAGUUUGACUGGGGCGGUCUCCUCCUAAAGAGUAACGGAGGAGCACGAAGGUUGGCUAAUCCUGGUCGGACAUCAGGAGGUUAGUGCAAUGGCAUAAGCCAGCUUGACUGCGAGCGUGACGGCGCGAGCAGGUGCGAAAGCAGGUCAUAGUGAUCCGGUGGUUCUGAAUGGAAGGGCCAUCGCUCAACGGAUAAAAGGUACUCCGGGGAUAACAGGCUGAUACCGCCCAAGAGUUCAUAUCGACGGCGGUGUUUGGCACCUCGAUGUCGGCUCAUCACAUCCUGGGGCUGAAGUAGGUCCCAAGGGUAUGGCUGUUCGCCAUUUAAAGUGGUACGCGAGCUGGGUUUAGAACGUCGUGAGACAGUUCGGUCCCUAUCUGCCGUGGGCGCUGGAGAACUGAGGGGGGCUGCUCCUAGUACGAGAGGACCGGAGUGGACGCAUCACUGGUGUUCGGGUUGUCAUGCCAAUGGCACUGCCCGGUAGCUAAAUGCGGAAGAGAUAAGUGCUGAAAGCAUCUAAGCACGAAACUUGCCCCGAGAUGAGUUCUCCCUGACUCCUUGA